CUUUCUGGUAUUCAACGAUAUUUAAAAAUAUUUUUAAAGUAAUUUACUAUUAAUUUGAAUGCAUCAACAAUAAAGAGUUGUUAUAUAUAUACUGACACUUAUACUAAAUGUUGGUAAAAUAUAUCAUGAUACUCUAAAGUGUUGAAAAAUUAAAAAAAAUAAUAAUAUUUAUUGUUCAAUAAAUUGGUUUAAUAAAAUAGUUUAAUAAAAUAGACGGUUCAUAUAACAAUAUUUUUUAAAGCAUCGGUAUUUGUUAUCGUCUAAAAAAUAUCGUUGUCGCGCUUGGAUAUUUAUUUGUUGCAUCACUAUUGGACUAAUGCUUAACUAGUUGGACAUCAUUAAAUGCAUGUGAUUAACCCAUUUAAUUUUUGGCCUUAGAUUUAAGAAAAAUAUAAUUUGGCCCCUCCCCAAAUCAAAAGAGAGGAAAAAAAAAAAAAAAAAAAAAGGGAUAAGGUUUACCCUACAAGAGCACAUUUUAAUGUGAUGGGUUCCAAUUGCUUUGUCAUGCAUGGGUCCCUAAGGUCCCCUACUUAAUACAUGACCUAACCUCUUGGACUCAUCAUCUUGCUUCAUUUUUGAAGCCUCAUUAAAAAAAAAAAAGAAAAAAAGAAAAAAAGAAAAAAAGUUAGGGCUUCAUCCAUUGGGUUCAAAUUUAAAUUUGAUAAGCUAGAACUUGUUGUUGAAUUGUUGUUUGAGUAGAAUUAUUUAAAAAUAUUGUACCGUAAUUUUGACAUAAAUGUCAAUUUUAUGAAGAAAUUUUGUCCUGCUUUUAUCGAAUCGUACUCUGAAUAACAUGCUAUUAGAAAUCUAAUUCUAAAACGCCUUGUGUCGAAAUUUUUCAUAUUCGAUUAAUUUCCACAUUGACCAAAAGGCAUAAAUUAACUUUGAUUGUUAUUCUUUUGCCUCUUUUAUUAUUUUCAAUGUUACGACACAUGGCAUAUAUGAUUCACCUAUUCUUCACUAUGAACGAAAAAUGGAGACGUUAAGAUUAUUUCUGAACUAUUUCCCAUCCGAUCUAUCUUUUGAAUAACAACUCCCAAUAAAUUUUCCUUCUUUUUUUGCCUAGCAGAAGCGAAAAAAUUGGGACUACUACUUUUUGAAUGAAAAAAUUUAUUUCAACUUCGCAAUGCAGCAAAAGCACAAAAUUUUUUGUUCCUAACUCAAUAAACUGAACCAUAUUAGGACCAAACUGGCUUGUGUGGAUCAGAAUUUGCUUUUCUUUUUUUCUUUUUUUUUUUUUCCUUUCUCCUUUUUGUUUUUUGUUUUUUGUUUUUAACAAAAGAAAAGGUAUGGAACAUCUUGAUAAGUUUAAAGGAUCCAUUGGCAACAAUAGGAGAUAUAUAUAUAGAUAGGAAAAUGAUGAGAGAAUGCUACUAAAGCCACACAAAAAAUGCAUGGUUCAACUACAUCCCAAUUACCACACUAUUCCAAACAAUGAGAUUGAUGUUCUCUCAUUUUCACAGAAAAAAAAAAAACAAAAAAAAACAAGUCAAUAAAUUUGUCACCAUAAUGAGCUACUAAUUCUCUUGAGCUUUUACUUUCAAAGGUGAGGAGGUUUGAUGAGGAUAAUAUAAUUAAUGUUACUUUUUUAUUUUUUUUAUAAUAUAUGAAAGAUUUAAUAAAAGAUUUAUUGCAUAUUAAAUUAUUAAGAAAAAAUCAUGUUAAAGUCUAGUAUUUAUGUGGUUAAUUGAGUUUAUUAAUUUGACCUGCUUCAUAAUUGGGCCCAAAGAGAGAUAUUGGGCUCAAAGCAUUUGUGAAACAGAAGAAAAUAAAGGCAAAAUAUUAAUCCAUUUAAAAUAACAUGGUGUUAGAGCAAACCCUAUACGGCCGUGCGCCUAUGCCGCCUCCAGUAAUGGCCAAGAGAUCGAUCAUGCACUCUCACUGUACGUGGCAUAGUUUAUCUGAUCUCCAACACGCACAUGAGCAUGCAGAAGUGUUAAGAUUACGUCUGAACCAUUUUCUAUUAGAUCUUUUGAGUAAUCGAUGCUAAAGAAUGAUUAGCCAACCGGGUCUAAUCAUUUACCAGAGCUUGCGCCUGGCCCGAACCAACCUGGACUAAAAAUUCUCAAAUUUUAAGAUGGCUCGACCGGAUAAUAAUAAACCCAAGUCGAUCAAACCAUGGUUUUCUUUUUUGUUUCAAAUUUAAUUAUGCUUCAUAUGAUCAAAUAUAUAUAUAUAUAUAUAUAUAUAUAUAUAUAUAUAUAUUUUGUUGGACAAAAUAAAAAGGCUAGAACACAUAAAACUCCCCGUGUAAGUACCUUUUUUUUUAUUAUUUUUUCUCUCUUGACUUUCAAAACUAUAGGUAGCACGCCAUCCGCUUCGUUUAUUUCAUUUAUAAAUAAACUUAGCUGAAAAUGUGAAUCAACUAGGAUUCGAACUUGGGACCUCGGGUUCCAACCACUAAGCCCUUUGCCACUUGUUCUAGAGACAGUCGGUUGCCCCCUUAAAUUUUAGAAAUAUUUUUAAAAGGUUACAGUGUUAAUGUAGAGAAUGAAAUAAUCAAAUUGCCCCUAUAUUUUCUAUAAGAAAAAAAAAUAUAUUUCUAUUAUUUUCAAGGAUAUUUUCAAUAUAAAUUGUAAGAAAUUGACAGAAUAGUAACAGAACCCUGACAAGAGGAGGCAAAAUGCAUCAACUUGAAAUUUAGAGGGGGUAAAAUAUAGAUUUUUGAAAGUCGGAGAGCAAAAUGGAAAAAUGGAUAUGUACAGAGAGUUUUUUGUAUUUUAGCCAAAUAGUAAAAAAAAAAAAACCUUCUUCUCGUUCUACUUCAUAUAAGGCCUAAUAUCUUGAUGGCCCGGCCCAAUCAAAUGGGCCCAAUAUAAGAAAGUCGGCAUCAUUAGAUAUCUCGGCAACGACUUUAACACGAACUCGGCGUUUCCAAACUUAAUUUGAGCCACCGACAUCUCUUUAUGAGGUCUCGCCAUCGAAAGGGUCUGGCGUAAGAAGAGAUUUUCUCCUCUUUUUUUUGGCUUUUUUCCCUUUUUCAUCGUACGUAAAUAGUUAGGUAUAUAAUGUUUUGUCGUAAUUAAUAUAAGUUUCACCAAGAAUUACGUGUGAAGGAGAUUAUUAAAUUUGGGUAGUGGUGAAGCAUCAUGUUUAAGUUUUGUUUCUUUAUUAUUAUUGUGAUUGGAGUUUUUAGGGUUAGUUGGGCGUUACGUAGGGCUUACGUAGCAGCCAUUUCCAUCACAUUUAUGAAGGGAAGUUGAGUCCACUGUAUACUUUCCUAUUAUAUCAGUCAUUUGGACAAUUAUAACUUUAGUGUCUACUUUUGAACCCUCUUAGUUACAAGGGUAGAUUUGUAUGAUUAAUCGCUUUUAUUAGUUUGUUUCAUUAAUUAUCUCUUCUGUCAGUGCAUGCGCUACUGUUCUCUUGGUCUCCAUCAUUCACAAGAGGAGAGGAUACUACGGCUUUUUAGAACCGGCUUUUGCUUUUGCUUUUAGCAGCAGCGAAGUUUUGGUAAUUCGUUUGCUUAAGGGAACAAUUUGAAGCCUCUAACACAAAAACUCCAAUUUGUUGUUUCUGUAAUUAAUCUACUUCAAAAUAAAUAGCAUAUAUAACCGGGGAAGCACUGUAUUAAACAACACUAUACUCUAUAUAGCAGCGAAAAUUUUGUUCUGCGUUAACCCUAAUAUUUGAGGCAGAUGCUGAUGCUAUAACAGCUCGAAUUGAAUGGGCCCCUUUGGUCUUAAUGAGUUUACUGUUUGUCAAAGUUUGAUUAAGAAAUGCCAAAUGAUACCCCUUUCAACAAUUAAUUCAACAAUUGUUGCGAUUAAUGCGCGUAACAUAUAUAUAUAUAUCAACAUUGUGGCCCUUGUUUAGCUCCAUAUGAUGUACGUACGUACUGCUUUACAGUACAACAACAUUAUCACACAGGAAAUGUGAUUGCAAAAGGUGGCGACGAGGUUGAUUAAUUGUUAAUUUCUCUUUGAUCCUCAUUUUCUUUUGCCCCUUAAUUACCUUGUUUCUGUUGCUAUAUAUCUUUCAUUUCGGCUCUACGAUCUUAAUUUCUCUUAUUUCAUUUUAGCACAAAAUGUGAAGCUUGGAAAAACAUCAAAAUACUUAUUAAUUGCUCGAUUUGCUGUUUAUCCACAUUUCUACGGAUAAAUAGCGAAUCUAGCUAUCAAUAAGUUGAACCAUGCUAUAUUAUAGAUAUAUAGAUAGAUAGAUAGAUAUUUAAUUAUGCACGUAUCUAGAAGGAGUAUAACAAGUCCUUUUAUUUCACAAUCAAAUUGUUGUGUAUAUAUAUAUAUAUAUAUAUAUAUACGCGCGUUCUUUUAUUUCAGAAUCUCGGUUAUUUUCAAGAAAAGUAAUGAUAAUAGUAAACUCAGCUAACAAAGUUGGGUGCAGGAGAAAUGUGACUACUCAGAUCAAAUGUAGGGUCGAUCGAUCGGGUUUUAAUUUUAAUUAAUUAGUUGAACAUAUAUAGAUGUAUGUAUAUUGCUACUAAUAUAUAUAUAUAUAUAUAUAUAUAUAUAUAUAUAUAUAUAUAUAUAUAUAUAUAUAUAUAUAUAUGUGUGNUAUAUAUAUAUAUAUAUAUAUAUAUAUAUAUAUAUAUGUGUUAGGGUUAAAUUGGGAAUUAAUUAUAUAUGUGGUCAUUUUGGUCUCCACCUACCCAUCUUUUGCAUGAAUAUAUAUAUAUAUAUAUAUAUGAAAAGGUAAAACAACAUUAUCUUCACACCCUUUCCGUGCGAGCUGAGAAAGCGAAUCAUUCUAGUCAUAUAUAUAUAUAUAUAUAAUAACCUUAAUUGAAAAUAUGUAUAUAAAUGUCAUUAUCAUGACAAAAUUGCAUAACUUAUGCAAUUGCUGUAGCUUGAUUGUUUGUUUUAUUCUCUGAUGAAUGCAAUUUGAAUAGCACUGGCCAGUGCAUAUAAGUCGUCGGAAACGGAACCCUAUUACGUACAGAACAUUAAAAAUGGGGAACAAUAAUUUUAUGCAUGUGGUGCCAAAUUAAUGGACGCUGUAUUGCUAUGAUCUAUUUUUCAUUUUUGAGCAUAUAUGCACUUUUGGGCAUCUUUUACUACUGUAAAAUUUGUUAAUAUAUAUAUAUAUAUAUAUAUAUAUAUAUAUAUAUAUAUAUAUAUAUAUAUAGAGUUGACAGACCAAAAAAUGGGUCAGUCGACAAACCAAAAUUUGAAAUACGUGCUUUUAUAUAUAGUAUAGAUAUAUAGAACUAGGCUAAUAUACUAUUAAUAGCACAAGUCAUUAAUUGGUUCUACCAAGUUUUUGGCCAUUGGAUUAAGAAAUGUACGGUUAGGAUGAUGUGGGCCUUCUAGGGUUGAGUGGGUGGUUGGUUGAAUAGUAUGAUCUAACGGGUGAAAAUGAUCAAAAGGGUAGAUCUAACGGCGGAUAUAUAUAUAUCGAUAGCACCAAGUGCUUGCGUAGCUAUAUCAAUAGCUAUAGUAGACAGACUAUAUAUACAGAUAUAGAUAUAAAUAGUAUAUAUAGAGAGAGAGAGAGAGAGAGAGAGAGAGAGAGAGAGAGAGAGAGAGAGAGAGAGUUGAACUGGAAUGCUAUAUGUCGGUGGCAUUAAAUUUUUGACCCUUGGAUGAACCGGUGUAUAAUUAAGAUGAUAGUGGUCCUCUAGGAUUGAGUGGGUGGUUGGUUGAAUAGUAUAAUCUAAUGGAUAAAAAUGAUCAAAGGGGUUGAUCUAGUAUAUAUAUAGAGUAGGGCUACUACACUCUUAUGAGUAUAGAGCCCUUCGUAUUCAUAAGUUGUUUUCGAUGAUAGAGCUUCCGAGUCGACAAUCCACUCCGUUAAAUAUGAUCUAAAGUAUUUGAAACUUCUAAAAAAUAAAUUUCGUAAUUUUUCGAAAUCAUAGUAAAGUCUAUCAAGCGGAUAUAAAAUGAACGAUCAAAAUCGAACAACAUCCUAAAAAGGAUGAUCGGAUCCUUUAAUUAAAGAUCGGAGUUAUUGAUCUUUAUUUAGAUAGUGAAUAAAAUUUUCUAUCAAAUAUUCAACCGAUUCGGAUUCUUUUAUACCAUUAAACUAGCAAGUAUUCCAUACCAGCUGUUAAAAAUUAUCAAUUUUGAAAUCUUUUGAUCGUAAGGUAAAUGAUGUGAAAAAAUUAUAAAAUUUAAUUUCUAGAAGUUUCGAAUGCUCUAGAUAACGUUUAACGAUAUGGAUCAUCGAUUCGGAAGCUCUACCAUCGAAAACGACUUAUGAGUACGAAAGCGAUUGCAUUCAUAAAAAUACAGUAGUCGAACUCUAUAUAUAUAUAUAUUUAUAUAUAUGAACUUGAAUAUACAAAUUAAGUUUGAUGAGUUACACAUAUCUUUUGCUAUAAAGUUAAUUUUGUUGCUUUGCCCAAAGCAACUUCAUGUAUGAGUAUGCUAAAUGGAUGCUUUUUGUAUUGCAUAUAUACUAGCGUCUAUUUUCUCUUUUUCUUUCUUUUCUUUUCUUUUUUAUUUUUUUUUCUAAUCGAUGUUCAAAAUACAUAUGAAAACUUUCACUAGAAUAGUGUUGUAUUAAGCAUGAUAUAGAAAAUGUCCCCAUAUUGUCUAUUUGGACGAAUAGAAAUUAAUUUUCAGAACCAUCGUCGAUCAAGUGCUUAAUUUCUAUGCAUUAAUUAGAUAUAUAUAUCAUUUAUAUGUAUAUAUAAACUUGAGAAAGUAGUUUGUCUCCUGUUUGGUCUCACUUCUGAAACAACUUUUUAUUUUGAGUAGCAGCAAAAACUCUCAAUUCAGUGCAAUGUUGUACUACGAUGCUUGUAGUAUUAUCAACCUAGCUACCCUGUUUUGUGAUGCAUUUAGUCCUUAGAAACCGUACAUAAUAUCUAUAUUAACGUGCGUAUAAUUAAAAUCUCAACUAUUAAUCUCACUACAAAAGUGAUCAUUUAUUUCCCUCAUGAGAUUUUUUUUUUUUUUUGAGAGAAAGGUAGCCUCAUGAGAUUAUAUUAAUUUUACUGGAUGGCAAAGAUUAAUUGUUAGAUGGAAACUGUGUCCUCAUAUGAUGCACAUCCCCCUUUUGUUCAUUGUUGGAUAUGUAUUAAGUUCUUAGAUAUAAUUAAAUACAUAUGUCUCUCCCUCUCUUUCCAAUUAGUUCUUAAAAAGAUUUUAAACAGUUGCGCGAUGUGGACUAAACAUCAUUAUCGAGUAAACAUUGGUCAUUAUGUUCAAUUAGUUGGUCUUCUUACAAGCAGCUGGCAUGUCCAUUAAGCCCUUUGAAAGAGAUGGUUUUAUAUAUAUUAGGUGGUGAUAUGAGAUCCCAAUCACAUCAUUCAAGGUAUUAUUGGGGGUUCCUUCGAGAUUCAUUCGUUUCAUGAAUCCGCAACCACUGAUACUCAAUAACCAACCAAAACAUCAUGUCGAGGCGCUGCUUAAUUUUCUAAUUUGUGUUCAUUAUUUUUCUUAUUCCAGCUUGUUUUAAACCGUGACGGAAUUAACCUGGUCGAUGUGCAUCGUAAGGGAGUCAUGUCAGAAAAAGUUGUUGACCUAAUCCUAGGAGUCGUCAUGAUUUCGAGUUGAAUGAGAGGGACAUAUUUUGAUGUCGAACAAUUUGAUUCCAUGCUAAUUAAGAAGUGAUUGCAAGUCUCUAGUCGAUAAACUAACGACAAAAGAAAUUUACCACACGUUGGAGGAAGCGCACGCAUUUAGUGAAGGACAUAAUAGCAAAGCAAUAUAUUUAAGUGGAAUAUUGGAGUGCAAGUUAGAAUUAUUACAAGCGAAAUAAACGAUGAAAGAUUAAUUGAGGUUUUAACCUUAAUCUUUAUUGUGUUAAUGCUCUCUAACUAGCGAUUUCGAGUGCUUCAUUUUCAUGCUAAGCUAAAGAUCCCUUGAAUAUUGUUCAUGGGAUCGACUCAUCAAUUAGAAAAGGUUUUAAUUUGAUCCAUGUCCUAUAUAUACAGGUGCAAUCAUGCUCCUUCAAAUCAAUUAAAAGAUUUUAACUUCAAUUCAUGAGGGAGAAAAAAAAAAAAAAAUGUAAGCAACCAAAGAAUAUAUCUUUGCUUUAAGAGUCGUGCUGGUGUCGGGUCCACGGCCCAGCGAGCCCCUUGUAAUUAUUCCCUGAACCCCGUUCGUUUUCUAUGCCACUCGUGACCGGCCACGUGGAAAAUCAACGGUGCUAAAACCGCGGUCUACUGAUGUUCUCAUGCACCGGGUGUAGGUCGUGAUUAUACGCCCACGCGACAAAAAAGUCGACCGUGGCGGGCGCCCGUGAGACCCGCGAUCCGACGUGGCAGCGCGUUGACUUUCAACGGCCGCCUCUUCUCAUCGCUCUUCGACCGUACGAUUUUAUCCGAGAUUCGCGGUGGUGGUUUCCUUCCGCCACGUGGCGAGUUUUCGCAGGUAAAGCGUUGCUUAUGGACCACGUCACCCACCGAGGCGCGGGCCCCACAGUCUUAUUGGCGGCGGGACCCACGUGCGACAGCGCGGGCUCACGUGCGGGUUGGCGCCUUUUGUUCUUUUCUUAAGAGUCCCUGUACUAUUCCGAAACUGCAAUUUAAACCAUUUAUUAUCUUUUUUCUUUUCCUUUUUGAGUAAACUUUAAUUUGUACUUAACUACAGUUUAGCUUAUUUUUACUCUACCACCAUAUAAACUUACACUUAACUACUUUGUAAUUUAACUAAUAUUUACUUUGCUCCCCCGACCCCUGUGGUUUAAAAAGUUAUAUUUAAUUAUUCUGUCUGUAUCAAAAAAUUUAUUUUGCUAUCUUAUUUAAUAGUAGCUAGCUUUUUUGAAUAAAAUUAGAGAUAAAAUCACAGGAUUAUUAAGUACAUGUUUUUUGAAUUACAGGGUGAAAAAUUAGCUUUAUAAACUAUAAAAUAGUAAAGGGCGAUAAGUAUUUUUAAUGUUAUGUAGUUUAAAAAGUAUAGCACUUUAAUUAUUAUCGCGCUUUUAGCUUUGCAUAUUUGUCAAAAAAAAGUAAAAUUAAUGAAAGUCUACUAUAAUUAAAACUAAAAAGAUGUUUAUCUUUUCGAAUUUACUAUGUUAAAUAAUGUAAAAGUCUAGCAAAACUCGAACCGGUCAGAAUCUUUCAUUCUGAUAUUUAUAAAAUAAUUAUUUAAUUAUCUUCAUGAGCUUUAUUAAAGAAUGAUAUAUAUAUUUUUUUGUAGAUUUGUAUAUUAAUUCAACAUACCAAAUUAACGUUGUAGUGAAAAUAACUGCAGCAGCAGCAGCUAUAAAUAUAAUUAAUUUCUAAUUAAGGAGGGUACUGUACGUACAUGGUGCAUGAACUGGAGCAUGCAUGUACAGAGGAAUUAAACUAACCUACAGUGAGUCCAAUGAUGAAGUUCUAAAGUUUUCUCUUGAGAGAUCAUGAGGGCCUAUAUUAAUUAAACUGAUCAUAGCUAUAUAUAAAUAUAUAUAUAUAUAUACUAGUAAAAUAUACGUGCAAAUGGACGUAAUAAUUAUUAGAAAAAGUUAUAAUUUUUUUAAAUUAUUUUUUAAUUUUAGGCCAUAUUUUAUAUGAUUGCCAAAUAUGUAUCUAAAAAAUUUAAAAUAAUAAAUCACGCUAUUAAGAAAUAUAUGCUUUAAAUGAUAAAUAAUUAACAAUAAUCUCUAAUGCAAAAAUUACUUUUGAAAUUAAAUAGAAAAAUAAAAUCUGUUAGGAAAUAAAUUUUUGAAAUUAAAUAGAAAAAUAAAAUCCGUUAUCUUAAAAAGAAAAUAUAUUUUGAAAUUAAAUAGAUAAUAUCUAAAAAAGAUAUUUUAAAAUAAAAUAGGAAAAUAUUUUUUAUAGGAUUUUCACACCCGUAAUCUGUUAUAGAUCAACCUACUUUUGAAAUUAAAUAGAAAAAUUUAUAUUUUUGGAUUUUCACAUCAGUAAUUUAUUAUAAAGCUACUAUACUUAUAUGAGUAUAGAGCCCUUUGUACUCAUAAGUUUUCAGCCGUUCAGAUGAAAAAAUAUACGCUUAGAAUGAAAGUGGUUACGGUUAGGUUGAUAGUGGGCCCCCUUAGGGUUGAGUGGGUGGUUGGUUGAAUAGUAUAAUCUAACGGGUGAAAAUGACUAAAGGGUAGAUCUAACGGUCAAAAACUUAUAAGUACAAGAGGCUCUAUAUUCAUAAGAGUAUAGUAGCCGGACUCUAUAUAUAUAUAUAUAUAUAUAUAUAUAUAUAUAUAUAUGCAUGCAUGGGCAUAUGGGAUGGCCCUUUUGAAUUCCUUCCCUCUCCUUUACUUAAUUCACCCCUCCAUUAUUGCUACCUAGGAGCUAGCUCUCUAGCUAUGUACAUGUCUCUUUCUUUUUCUUUUUCUUUUUUUUGGCCUUUUCCUUUUUUUUCUUUUUCCUUGUACUUUGGAAAUGGUGGAGGACAUAACCUUAAUGCAUGGCCUGCAUGGGUGUGUGUCAGUGUGGCUCUUGAAAGAAUCUUCUCUUCUAACAAAUUCCCUAUGGACCCUUUGAAACCCUAGGGACAAAUUAAAGGGAGGGUCCUGCCAUGUUGUUUUGUUCCUCUUGUUGGCCAUUUACCCCUUUAUUAUGGGCUACCAAGAGGAAUUCUUAUAUAUGCCAAAUAAUGUGAAAUAAUAAUCAUGCAUGUGCAUGGUUAAUUUCCAAGAUUUUACAUAUAUCCAAUGCAUGUACUUAUUAAUUUCAAGAUGUGCGUGACUUUGAAUUAAAUGAGAGGAAAGUAAACGAGACUAGAAGCUCGAUGUAAUUUGAACUUCGCAUCUCCUGCUUUGAUAUCAUGUGAAAUUGUUCUCUGAAAACUUAAAGUUAUUAGAAAAGAAUGUUAAUAAUUACUUAAACUAUCAGAUAACGGUAUUUUCAAAAUUUAUAUAUAUUCGACGUUUUUUCUCACGCUUGGACUUGAAACAAUUUGAUAAGAACGAGACGUGAACUUGAAUUAAGUGGGAGUAGACUAAAUAAUGCUGAGAGGUUGACGGGAUUCUAAUUCAAGAUUAUAUUCUGCUAUGAUAUUUUUUUUGUUACAUUAAUUUGUAAAACCACUAUUAUUCUCCAAAAUUUUGAGCCACCAGAAAAUAGUAUUUUUAAUAUUUAUAUUCAAUAAUUUCUCUUCUCUCUCUCUCUUAUAUUUCUUUCUUUUCAUGUAUAUAUUAAGAUUAUUUCUUGGUUCUUCUAUUAAAUUAAUCUUGUUUCAUAACCUGGUAUCUCAUAAAUCACUUAAUCCUCGUACUUACAUUAUUUCCUUUUUUUUCUUCUUUUUCCUAUAUAUGUAUAUCUUCAUAAAUAAAAAUGUAUUGCGUGUACAUUUUAUUAUAAGCUGUAUAUCUUACGCUCUAUAUAUCAUGAAAGAAUUUAAAAACUCAUUAUAAGUUUGAAAUAUAAAAAAGAUAUAAGUAUAAACUAAAAAUUGGGACCAUAAAAAGCUUAGGCUGUAAGAAAUAUAGAUGUACGAGUAGCUCAGCUCUUUCUUAAGUAAUUAGCCCAACCAGAAUUAAUUCCAUGCAAUUAAUAAUAUGUACCAUCUUAAGAAAUUCCACGUUAUUUAUCCCCACAAUUAAUUGAAAGAUAAUUAAGGUUAAACACUGUUUUGGAAUAUAUUGGUGACAAUAGUUUUACUAUUUCAAUUUUUGGCUCAGGACACGUGGCAAAUAGUGACACUGAGGCCGAUAUUUUUGUUGAGGUCAAUUCAAUACACAAUGUUUUCCAGCUAUCGCCAUUAAUUAGUACCAUGAUCACGACAUGCAUCGACACGUACCCUGUUUUUUUAAUUAUUAUUAUUAUUAUUAUUAUUGUUUUUAUUAUUAUUACUAUUACUAUCCAAUUAAAUAAAUCUCCUAAUUAAGUUUACGUACCUAAUGAUGUAUUAAAGGUACAUAAUAUUAAUUAUUUGGUCCAUUUUCACCUAUAAUUAAGCUUUCAUAUACAAUUUUCGUCCAACGCCUCGAUCGAUAUAUCAGCUAAUUAAAAUUAAGAAACGAUCGUGGGAGGUAAUGGUCUACAUAUAAUCAUGCACAUCUAGGUUUAUUUUAUCUUUUGAAUAAAGUAAGCAAUUAGAUUCGAAAUAUUAAUUUAACAAAUUGUUACAUAAUCCCUAGCUAGCUAAUUUAUCAUUAUCUAUAAAUAGUUGUUUUUUAACUUUAUUUGAGGCUUAUUUAAUUAUACAUUUUAACUUUAUUUUUCUCCUUAUUUUGAAACAUAUAUGCACAUUUCAACUUUAUUUUUUCGAUUUCUUUUUUACUUUAUUUUUAUUUUAUUGGACAUUGAAAAGAAGUAAUUAAUUAACAUGCUAUUCGUAUAAUUUUUGCCCUUACGAGUGCAUGACAUGAGCGUUAAUAACGGCAUACUUUUGGUGCUUGACUUUGCUACAAAGCCAUGUGCCUCCAUAUGAUUAGGUCCAUAGAAAAUCUUUUUUGCAUGUACCUAUUUUUUUAUAUUAAUUUGAUGCAACAUGUUUUCUAAAUUUUAGUUUGAUAUAUGGAACAAUGCUAAAGUUGAGGGGGAGGCCUCAUGAUAAUAUUAAUUUGCACACGCAAGGAGACAAGAAAGAGGGCGAGGGCAAUAUUAAAAUAUAUCUUGUAAAUGUAGAGAGAGAGAGAGAGAGAUAAAGGGGUUCAAUAAUAUAUAUAAAAUAACUGAUUUUUUGAAAAGCUCAAGUUAUCAUAAGAUAGUAUUUUUUAUAUUUAUAUUAGGGUUUAAAUUCUCAUGACCUUCAAUUUUGAUGCCCUAUUAAAUAAUACGAAACAACCGAUUUCUCUAAAAGCUUAAGUUGCUAGAAAGAACAGUAUUUUUAAUGCUUAUAUUCAAUAAAAAAGGAUUAUAAUAUGAGUAUAUAAAUCAUGUGCAUAUAGGGAGGGAGAGAAUGAUAGAAGGGCGCUAUCGGCAGUCCUAACGCAAGUGGUAAAAGACUGAUCAGUAGUUAGUACCUAGAUUUCAAAUUUGAAGCCUAAUUGUUUCAUAUUUUCAGCUAAAUUCAUUUCUAAAAAAAUAAAUGAAGCGAUAGUUAAAUUAAAGAAUUGCAUUAGUUAAAAUAUUAAUUAAGAUGCUAUCUUAAUUAACUAAGCUUAGUUGUCAUUGAUUCCAUUCACAACCUUGCAUGGAAUAUUUGCCUAUGUGAGCUUCACAAGCACGCAAAGGCAUGUAAUUUAAUGCCACACAAAACCUCACAUAUUGUUUGACUUAUAUGGGGACUUAUUUAUUUAUAUAUAUAUAAUGUCACCAAAUAUCUCUUUUUAUUUGGUUUUGUCAAAGGUAGUUACAUCACUUCUGUAGAUUUACUAUGGUUUCUUAUUAAAUUUUUUUCUAAAUCAUUUCCUAUCAAAUUGGUUAUUUACAUAAUAUGGAAUCAGAACCAAUUCUGAGCUCCAAUAUAAGCUCACCGACAAUAAUUGUAGGUUGAAUGCAUUAUUGGUUCCUAAUUAACCUUUUUUUUUACUUUUUGGUCCCUAACUUUUUCUUUUGCUAUUAUGUUCAUGUUUAAUCUAUACAUUUUGUUUCAGUUAUGUCUCAAUUAUCCAAAUUCUAAUUAAUCUUGAUGGAAUAGGACAUGUGCGAAUCCAAUAAAGUCCUGCCUACUCAUAUUGAUCAUGAUCAUAAUCUAGUAGUCGUUUGUGGAUUCCGACAUCAACUUUUUAAAGUUUUUAGAAAAGCUUGGUAGCAUCUAAUUCAGUAAACUAUUCCUAGAGCAAGUGACAAAGUGCUUGGUGAUUGAUACUCGAGACUCAAGUUCGAAUCCUAGUUGAUUCACAUUUUUAGUUAAGUUUAUUUCUAAAUGAAAUAAACGAAACGGAUAGCGUGCUACCUAUCUCUCAAAAAAAAAAAAAAAAGAAACCUUGAUGCUCUAAGAUUAACAGCAGGCAUCGUGUGUGAGGUCAUUAUGGUCGUAGGUGUCGAUGACAACACUGAUUAAGAUUAGACUUGACAUGAUUGAUGGAUGCGCGCAGGCAUAUACAGUGGAAGAGAUCAAGGACCACAGUAAAAGAAAAUAAAAGAAUGUGAAAAGUUAAAGAUCAGUGCUAUAAGUAAUUCUAAAGGUUGGUGCUUUGAUUGCCAAAACAAGAAAAUAAAAAGCAAAAUUUAGUAAAGUUUAAUUUGGGGAGCAAUGAUGCAACUAAUUAACCCUUUUAAAGAAUCUAAGGUCAAUGUAGCAAUGAUACUCAUUUUGUGAAAAAAAAACAUUAAAUAUUUAAGCACUACGGAAGCAUAAAAUGCUAGGGUCAUAAAAAUUGUGAAAUUAAUUAGUCAAUAGGCAAUUAUGUCCAAGUGACAAUAUCCAGUUCACAUGGAAAAACAAACAAAGCAAAAUAUGUGUGUGUGUAUAUAUAUAUAUAUAUAUAUAUAUAUAUUCUUUCUAAUUUUAUAAUUAAUUAAUGUGGAACGGUGCUUUUCGCGUGUAAAAUUAUGUGUUUCUUUGACAAACAUCAUCAAAAGGCUUGAAAAAAUUGCAAAUUAAAUCCAAUAAUCUUUUUUUUUUUUAGUUUGUGUGUGUUUGUGUGUGUGUGUGUGUGUGUGUGUGUGUGUGUUAUCAUUCAUUAAUCAACGCAAUAAUGAAGGGAGGAGAAAGUGAGGUGAAAAUGAGGUUGAAAGGUGCGUGCAUGCAUGCAUGCUUCUUUUUUCGAUCUGGAUCAAAUAAAGGUGUUUCCUUUUCUUAUCUGUCGGCGGUGGCCGUUCAUAUAUAUAUACAUGUGGUGAACGUAAAUAUUAAAAAUAUUAUUUUUUAAUAAUUUAAAUUUUUUUAAAAAAUAAUGUUUAUUUUAUAUGAUUUAAUAUGUCAUUAUAUAGAGAGGGGAUUCUGAGUUUUUAGUAGCUUAAGCUUAUAUAAAAUAAUUGGUAGUUUAAUUAUUAAUUAUUAAUUGAGUUUAAUUAAUUGGUGAAAACCUUUGUUAGUAGGAGAAUGAUACGUAUUAUGUAAUGAAUUUUGCUAUGCCCACAUGCAACUAGGUAUACGUAAAAUUAUAGUAUCUAGGCGAUUUAAGAAAGAGGUUGUCAUGAGACUCGCGUAGACAAGGAUGAAUGAUGUAGGUCUCUCAUCGUUUUAGCUAAUGAAAAACUUUUCAUUUUUACGCAUAUGAUAUGUGAUUCAAAAGGCGUAGCAUUUUUUCUUGUGUAAUAUGUUUAAUUAUUUCCUGUAAUGAUUAAUUAGUCCUAUUUUUCCUAAGAAGAUGAUCAUUUACCUUGUUUUGAAAAAUUACGGUUGUUUUAUCCUUAUUAAUUACCUUUUAUCUAUAUUUUUGCUCUCUCUCUCUCUCUCUCUUCUUUUUUCUUUUUUUUUUCUUUGGAAAACCAUCCUUUGGGAUGAGAAGUGGGUGGACCCCUACUUGCGUAUUCCAAAUCAACAAAGGGUUUACAGUAGAUAUGGUUCUUAAAAAACAAACAAAAAAAAAAGCAUAUAUAUAUAUAUAUAUAUAUAUAUAUAUAUAUAUAUAUAUAUAUAUAUAUAUAUAUAUAUAUAUAUAUAACAUUUACGUCUUUUUAGGCCUCUCAAAAAUCGACUGUUACACUACUGUUACGUGCCAUUUUGAAUAAGCAAGAAGAGGCGUGUCAAACAAGAUAUUCUAAUAUGCAUACAAACAGGGUGUACAUGAUCGAGCAGUACUUAUGCUAUUGGUGAAUGAUAUAUAUAUAUAAUUUGUUUGAUUUGCAAUUAAAAAUGUUGAUUCAUUUACUUUUAAAAGAAAGUUGUUAGCUUCAUCUUGUAUUUUGAAAUUGGACUUUUCUUUAUUUUUGUGAAUGGCUAUUGCAAAAGGGGAUUAGUUGUUAGAGUUAUGGCUAACACAAAUGUGGUUACAAGUUGUAGUUUGGUGAGUGAAACAUCUUCAAAAGCUACAUAUGGAAAGCAUGAGGAAAUUAAACUCUUCAGUGCAAAUAUUGUUCUCUCUUAUAAAUCGAUUAUAAUUUGGAUAUAUAUAUAUAUAUAUAUAUAUAUAGAAAUUAUUUGACCAAUAUAACAAGUUAUUACGAAUUCGUAAGAUUUAUGGGUAGUAAGAAUUAAUCCAAACUUCUAAAUUGCAAUCACAAAGAAAAAAUAUUCAAAUUGUGCAGGUUAUUACCAGCUAACUUAUUCUGAUAUCCAAAUAAGCCCGAAAUAGGAGUUAUUGUCGUGUUAUCAUUAAAAUAACUAAUAAGCAAAUACAAAAAAAAGGUCAGAACUCUAGGUAAGAUGUAACAUCUUGAGGUGCCAUCGAGAAAUUUAUAAGCAUGAUCGAAACUUUUCGAUUCUGAAAAGGUUUGCUCGAUCUAUCGUUUCGCUGCAUGAAAACAACUCGAUGUAAAGAUUUCAUGACGCAGUCGAUAAUAGAGACCCGAAAUCUGAAGGAAUUCAUUUUUGGAAUCAAAAUAACAUGCAUGCAAGAUAUAAGCAGUGAAUAACGAUCGACGCACCGACAGGUUUAGAUGAUAUGUAACAUCAUGAAGAUAAUGACACUUAGCAAAUAUUUAUGAUCUUUAAUGCAAUGAAGCAUGUGAUUGUGAUACAACAGGCCCAUAUUAUAUGGCACUAAUGGAGAUUAUAUAUAGGGGUUUAACAAGGAUAAUUACCCUACUAAUGUUAAUCACUCAUGAUGACCACCUUCAUACAUAUAUAUGUAUGCUUCUAAUAUAGAAAUUAGAAGGGAAAGUUCUUAAUUACCUAAUUAGCAUAUUGAAAUUAAUUAUAAGAAGCACUUUUAUCUUUGAACUUGAGCUCGAUUGAUCGACCGAGUUGGCUCGAAUUGGUGAACCUUACUUGAGUUAGCUAACCCUUGUGCUAAUUUAUUAUCUAAUUAUUUAAAAAAAAAAGAAAAAAAAUUAUGGGCAUUGUAGUCUUUUAGUAAGCUUGCCUUUGUUGUAUAGUUGUUUUGUCCUCUCUCUCUCUCUCUCUCAUAUACCCCCUUAACUUUUUUUCCUUUUUUUUUUAACUCAAGUUAGUGUACUCAGUUAAGUUGAGAAUUUUUUUAUGAUUAAUAGUUUAAUAUAUAGUGACUAGUAUUAAUUAUUGCAUUUUUAUUUACUAAAUAAUGGGUAAAAUCAUUAAAUUUAAACUACAUGGGGGGAUUAGUUGUAUGUGAGCCAUAGUUGAGGUGUUCACAAUUGUUGAUAAAAGAAAAAAAAAAUGAAAAAUAAUAAUAAUAAUUCACCUUAAUUUCUGGUUUCUUGUGCUUCCAAACUCUCUAGGAAUAUUCUACAUUUUUCGAUAAAUCAAAGUUUUAUGUUGAUAUAUCCUUUGUUUUGUCACGCCUCAUGGACAGGUUAGUGCUGUAGGGGUCCUCACAUAAGCUGGAAACAGCAAGGAUAUAUAUAUAUAUACAUAAAUAUAAUAUAAAUAUGGAAAAAAAAUGUGUGUGUGUGUGUGUGUGUGUGUGUGUGUGUGUGUGUUGUGGAGUGGCUUGAAUAUGAGGGCUAAAAAAGAAAUGGCUUUUAAAAAAGAGGGGCCCAGUGCAAUAGUAAUCAAGCAAAAAAUUAAAAAUGGUCAGAAUCUCUUAAUUGCUCAGUGUCUUGUAGUGAUAAGCUUUUUAUUUUGUUUUGAUUUAAUUUAAAUUAAUUUAACUUUUCCACCCUAAUUGUUUAAUCAAGAAUCAAUUAGGAUCACAUGGCUCCAAUCAUAUGUUAUUGAACAUAUCUAAUCAUUGAUUUGAAAUGAGUUUAAUUGCAAAGAUACUGUUUACACCUCAUGCAUUAUUUUAUCACCUCAGGAUAUGGUAGAUAUUGUUGUCUAAAAGGAUCUUAAAAAUUUCAAUAAAAAUAAUAACACACAUAAAGAAGGGUAAAAAAAAAAAAAAAAAAAAAAAAAAAAAAAAAAAAAAACAGCAUAGACCAUUUCUUAAUGAAUUUGUUUAUAUUCUAAGCAAUGUAAUUAAGGUGCUACCCUAAUUAGCACAGUUCUCACUUACCAAGUUGUUCNAAAAAAAAAAAAAAAAAAAAAAAAAAAAAAAAAAAAAACAACUCAUGGAGCUCUUACUGAGCUCUUGUUACUGAUUUAAAAAGGACCCUGCAUGGGUGUUUAAUUUUACCUGUGUAAUAGAAAAUUCAUCUACAGUACUCAAAGAGAAAAAUGCAACAGCAUAGACCAUUUCUUAAUGAAUUUGUUUAUAUUCUAAGCAAUGUAAUUAAGGUGCUACCCUAAUUAGCACAGUUCUCACUUACCAAGUUGUUCCCACAUUUAUACCAUAAUCACAUUAAGAAUAGCUACUAUACAUACAUACAUACAUACAUAUAUAUAUAUAUAUAUAUAGAGAGAGAGAGAGAGCUAGGCUGGUGUAUAUAUAUAUAUGUAUAUAUAUAUAUUGCAUGGUAACCACAUGGUCUUAGAAAGGGAAAUACCAAAUCCCCAAGGAAGUGCCCAAGUUAAUUACAGCAGUGGCUCCUUCUGAAAUAGAGGAAGAUGCUCCCUACAGUAGAAAGAUGCAUGACUCACCUCUCCUUUCCAAAAACCAAUGAUGAGAGAGCAAUGCUCCGCGCACCUCGAAACACACACACCCGAAAGUAUUCUUGAUGAGCCGGCCCUGCACACGCGCGACAAACUGUAAACCGGUUAAAACUUAUCAGAGCAGGCGUGCUAUCGCACGCCGUGCUCGAAAAAUUUGGAGAGCUAAAUUAAUCACCAGCUGUCGCGCACGCAUUUGGGGUGCUUUUGAAGGUGAGUGUUGCAUAAUGAUUUAUGAGGGGAAGCUCCAAGAUGAUCAUGGUAUUGGGGAUCUGCCCAGAGAGCAGUAGAAGGGUCCCUGUUUUAUCUCUGACAGAAGAGAUUUAUGUGGGAAUUGAGACUGGGUGUAGGACUACCCUUUUCUUUGGUCUUAUUCCUUUACAAAGCAGAAUAACAAGGACAGUGUUCAAAAUAUUAUACUAUUCUGGUAAACUCCUAUCCAAAUAAUGAGUGUCCCUGGCCAUGAAAGGACCUUUUUAACCCCUUUUUUUUUUUCCUCUCUCUCUCUCUCUCUCUCUCUCUCUCUCUCUCUCUCUCAUGCUGUAGAAUCUGUGGACCUUCAAUAUGAGGACUUGGUGAUAGGCAUUACAGGGAAAAGGAAAAGGAAGGAUUGGAAAUGGAUUGCAUGAAAGUCCAAUACAGAUAGAACUCAUCCAUUCAGAGGGGGCUGGGGCUUUCCUCUUUUGUUUGUUUGAUACCUUGGAUUGUAUUUUACUUUUUCACUCUCCUGUGUCUAAAAGUGCUCUUCUUUUUUUUUGACAGCAAACAUCCUAAACCUUCUCAAUUAAUUUAUCAGCAAUGGUUGCCCCCACCAUUAAAGCACCAAACACUAAUUCUAACAGAGUGAUAAGACAUCCAAGUUGGAUUAUUAAUCACCCCAUCCCCACCACAUAAACAGGAGAAGAGAAAAAAAAAAAANAGAAGAAAGAUUUAAGAAAGCCCAAAUUCCAAUCAGAAACCCAUAUGAAUAUGACCUUCUUCAUCUCCUUUUUAGCUCUAACCUCAAUUUCCCCCAAACUAAGCCCUCCUUUGGAGCUAACAACUUCAUUGUCUCAGCCUCCCACAAUCUCUUUCCCAAACAUUCAUUAGAGCAUUCCCCAUUCCCUUUCUUUUUUUUUUCCUUUUCCCCCAAUCAGAGCUGGCACUCUUCCCAGUGCAGUCCUUCUUCCUCACCCUUCCUCAAACCAACAUACCAUACUAUUCCCCUUCAUUGUGGUGCCUCCUUCAGUCACACUAAUUUGACAAACAAUUCUCUCUCUCUCUCUCUCUAUUUCUAUACUCUCUCUCUACUCUCUAUCUCCAGUAAGAGAUAGGUAGCAUUGCACCUGGGCCACAAUUGAGAUGGGGAGGCACUCCUGCUGCUACAAGCAGAAGCUGAGGAAAGGGCUCUGGUCACCAGAAGAGGAUGAGAAGCUCCUAAAGCACAUCACAAAGUAUGGCCAUGGUUGCUGGAGCUCUGUGCCAAAACUAGCAGGUAAUGCAACUCAUAUUCUCCAAUCUUUACCCCCUCCCAAAAACCAUAAUUAUCAAUGUAUCAUCAUAACAUGAAAUUGGGAAACAAAGGAAAAAAACAAAAAAAAAAAGGAAACUAAUUUUGAGGUAAAGCAACAUAAUUCAGGUCUACAGAGGUGUGGGAAAAGCUGUAGGCUUAGGUGGAUUAAUUACCUGAGGCCUGACUUGAAGAGGGGCUCAUUCUCACAGCAGGAAGAAAACCUCAUCAUUGAACUCCAUGCAGUGCUAGGAAACAGGUACUCCUCACUAUUUUUCCAAAUUUAGCUUUGAACUCCUCAAAAUUCCAACAGCCUGUUUAAAACUUCAAAAAGCUGAUGAUUAUUAUUAUUAUUAUUAUUUUUCCCUCUCCUCAGGUGGUCUCAGAUUGCUGCACAAUUGCCGGGGAGGACAGAUAAUGAGAUAAAGAACUUCUGGAAUUCAAGCAUUAAAAAGAAGCUGAGGCAGAGAGGCAUUGAUCCCAACACCCACAAGCCGAUCGCCGAGACCGAGGGAAACGACGACAUAGCCCCCACGAACAGCGAGAAGACCUCGACGUCCGGCGAAACGAAGCUUGCCGGGCCGGCCGUGGCGCACUUAAGCCCUGCAAUUCCCGACGCGGCUCCGACGUUGAUGUCUGUGGAGAACACAAACCAUAUAGAGAAGUCGAGGCCGAAGAAUUCGAUGGCGCCGGCGAAAGAGCUCUUUCUCGACUGCGUCGCAAGUCAGACGGCUUCGAUCGGGUUGUCUAUGAACCAAAAUCUACCUCUCUGGUUUAACCAGAAUUGUCGAUUAUUUGACGGAAGCGCUGAAUUCGGCUGCAAUACGGUACCCAACAUGGCCCCAACUCUCUCGAGCUCGAUCUUCGCAAAUUCAGUCGCAUUCAAGUCUAUGAUGCAUCUCCCACAAGAAAAAACUUUACAAGAUUUCCAGUACUUGGAGGCUGGUAAUUCAGGUAACAACAGCGCGAGCAGCGGAAACAGUAGUAAUAUUCACGAGUUGCAGAGUAGUAGCUAUCUCUACGACAGCGGCAUCUUUCCGUGGUCAGAUCUGGUGCCCAACAAAGAAGAUCAAAUGCAUAUAGUAGGAGAACCAGAGGACCUCAAAUGGUCCGAAUACCUUAAUGGUAUAAUCCCUAUGCCGACAAAUAUCCAAAGCCAAAUCCAGAGCCAAGCCCACGGCUUUUACGGAAACAUCAAGGAAGAGAGCCAAUUCUCGAUAACUGGAUUCAGCAGUUGCCACCAGAAUCAGCAGCUGCAGCAUGGAGAUAUGUAUGGUAAGGACUUCCACAGAGUUUCCACCUCGUUCGAUCAAAUUUAGAUGAUUGAUACAGUUAUGAUUUGCUUCGGAGAGAGACCUAUAACAGCAACUUCUUCAACAGAAUUUUCGAUUCGAAACUGCUUUCAAUAAAUAAGAAGGCGUCUUCUGAUACUCUUUUCGCUCUGUGCGUGUGCGUGUGUGUGUUAUCGUAGAUUUUUGUUCGUGUAUAUAGGGCUCAUAGAUUUUUCAUAGAAUAAAUCUUGUUUCACCGUCGCCUCCCCUCUUCUUAUUUUAGUACUUCCAUUGUUUCUGUAACUCAAUUGUCUAAUUUGGCAUGUAAACAACCAUAAUUAUUGCUUUUUUAUUUCCUCUGUCACACUCCAAUUUACUGUUUUUAACAAUUGGUUGCAUCAGUCUCAAUUUGGGUAUCCAUGGGUGCAGGCAUAACAAUGCCACAUUUCUGCUGUCAUAAGCACUUACAGAAGCAAAAAAAAGCUUCAAUUUUUUCAGAAGUCAGCCAUUUACUUCCAUCAGGACUCCCAGCAGCACAGUGUCUGCUUUUGAGACCAUGAUAGGUGCCUACUUCUUGCUUAGUCAUUUGACAGCUACUGAAAAGGUCUCUAUUUCUAUUUAUUUUUGCAAAAGAAACAAGAAAGAAAAAACACUGUGCUUCAGUAGCAAGUCUCUGGAAGCAAAGGAGAUGAGAUAAGAGUGGUCAUCUUUGUACAUCCAAGGGAACAACAAAUUCCACAGAAAAGCAAAUCACUAAAGAAAAUCAGAACCUAUUCCACACAAAUACUAGUUGAAGGAUAGUGACACUUGUACUUGAGCAUUAGCAAUUCAUCUGGCAUCUUUGGUACCUAGGCAUGGCGUUCUUUUGACUACAGGAGCUUAAUUGCAUUAUGUUAAGUUCCAUUUUUCUGUAAUAAAGCUAGAUACUUGCAAAGGGAAAAGCAUGGGAGGAAUGCCUAUGGAGAAAACCUCAGCUCUUUGUUUAGUUUUGCCGAUGAGUGGAAACUUUAGUUUCCAUUAAACAGAAAGAGCACCACCUGUUUUCAAAAAUCAGAAAGAAUAGUAAUUGGUUUCACCAUUCGCUAAUUAAUCAUGCUCGCAAUGCCUAUGUGGAAUUUUCUCAGCUACUCGCUUUGUUUUGGUGAUUGAGUUGAAUUUAUUUUUUUUGUGGAAGGGAGGAAGCACCAUCUGUUUUCUUCCAAAAAUCUUAGAUAUCGAAUAGUUACACCAUUCCCUAGUAGCAUAAGCGUUUUGCAUAGUUGGUUGUUUCUCAUGAUUUCAGAGCAGAAGAUCCUAUAUUCAAGUCAUUCCAGGAAUCAAGCCCGAUUUAAUUCCUUCCCACUUAAUUUCAAAUCAAUUUACAGGUUUGCUCCAAACCUGCCCGCAAAUGAAUAGAAAUUUUAAAUUUGAGCCUUCAUAAGUGGGCUAUUCCACAAUAGCCACAAAUAAUAGGAAAGAAAAGAAAAAAGAAAUUCUGAAAAUGGGGAAAAGGAAAAGAUAUUGUACCAUGUCCUGAAGCUCCUAUAAAGGACUAGUGUGUGUGGGCAUGCACAUAUGACUAGUCCUCCUCUGUUCACUGUGUCUUAGGGGGACCAUUUAGAAACAGUAAACUCUGUAUUAACCCCCUGCUAAGAGAUCCAUUACUAAGAGUGACAAAGAGCGAAAGGGGAGAACAAAGGCUCCUUUGACAAGGAUAUCUCUUCUCUGGCCAUAUGAUCAAUGAGUGAGAAAAGGUAAAAGAAGAAUUUGAUAAAAAUUAAAGUGAUGCGCCCUUUCUACAUAAAGGACUUUCUCCUAAAUGCCAAUCUUAAUUUUCAUGUGCUUUUUUCCCUGUUCCCUUCUGUUCAAUGGAGUUUCUGUUCAAUCGAGUGUCUUCACUAGCUAAAAUUUUCUCGACAUAGUAGAGAUGAAAUGGAUAGACCAAUAUGCUUUAGAGCCAAACUUUAUCACAUGCAUUAGUGCAUUAAUCAACCGACAAAAUAGGUACAUAUCAAAUUACAAGUAGAGCCAUUGACUUUGAAUAUCUAAAAAGGAGAGGUUACACUGAAACUGUAGAACAAUGUAUGGCGACGGACAAGAUAAGGAGAACCAAUGAAGAACUACAUGGUGGGGGCAUGCCAUGAGGAAUAUACAAUUAUGCGGUGGACAGUUUUAUUAAACACUCUGCUUACAGAACAGAAGAGCAGGAGAGAUUAAAAGAGGCAAACACAAUGAACACACCAGAGAACACAUAGAGAGAUCUUUAAUUAUAUGCUAAUUUCAUAUUAGCAACUCUCUUGAAUUUGAUAGAAAGAACGGAAACAUGUAGUGGCUUUUUAUUAUGCAGCUUGCCAAGUUAACGAUGCAAUCUGGUAUUUUUAGCAUAGAUGGAUAAUUCAUAACAGCAAAAGGCUUCUUUGUAUAUAUGCAUUAUUCUGUUUGGGACGUCGUAGAACAAAAAUGGCCAUACAUAUAAAUCAAACUGCAAAUUAAUUAGCUAUAAUAAUCACUGUAUUUCUUAUUUCCAAUUAUUAUCUGUAAGCAGAAGACGACACCACAUGAACAAGCAUACCUUAUUUGGAACAGACACGGCACUUAGGUAUCUAAUAUACAUGAUGUAUAUGACAAGUAGACAACUAUAGUACAACAAGGUCGUACCCGACAGUGAACUUCAAUGCAUAUCGCAAUAUCUCGCUCCACUUUUACGAAAUCACAUGGAAAUUAAGUAGAUCCUUGAAAGAACAAUUCAUGAUGCUAAAAAAACAACUAGGAAAUGUUACCACAAAUUUUCAAAUUGAAACUUUCAACCAGUUUUGCCAUUUCCUGUAAUUGAAACUUGCAACCAGUUUUGUCAUUUCCUGCUAAACAAGAUUAUCACAC
rnacentral:lncRNA from 1 species